UUGUACUGUUAAUAAGUUAUUUAAAAAAAAAAAAAAAAAAAAAAAAAUACAGACACUGGUUCAUGGGUUCACAAAUAUCAUCGCCCCCUAGCGGCAAACCAUUGAAAUUUCGAGAUAUUUUGAAACAGCUAUGAAAUAACGAAGUCUCGUUUACUAAAAUAACGUGACUUUGGCAGUUUGAUACGUGCCCCUAUUAACUGGUUUGAAACAAAUAUUUCGCAAAGGUUUUGAAGCUUCACGAAGCGUGUUUCAAAAGCGCCCAUCAGGGAAUCACCUGUUUAAAAAAAGUAAAAGAAAAGAAGCAGAACUGAGGAGAGACUCCUGGCAAAAGAACGCGACAGAGCUCGUAAUAAAACGAGAAUCAACUUGGGCUUGCCUUUUCGGAGAUAGUGAGAACUAAGGGAUUUAAAAAUGCUGUAAAAGCGACGCGGAGAUGAUGGCGUUAUUACUUGGUCUCUCUUCUCACAAGAUGAAAGUACUGGAUCAGUUAAGCUGUCACAAAUGAAGACUGACCACCAAAAGGUCAUAUUGGUUUAUCUGGUAACGAGAAAGCAAACAUUGCUGCAAAGGAGGCUCUCAACUUCAAUAUUUCAGAGUGUCAAAUUCCACCCUCUGAUCUCAGACCAGUAAUAAACUCCUAUAUUAAUAGUGUUUGGCAGAUGGAAUGGGAUAAAUGCAAACGAAUUAAGUCCUAGUAUAAGAAGAAUGUUUUUUACUAAUUUCAAAUCUAGGUAUGAUCAAGUUGUUUUUACUAGAUGCCGUUUGAGUCAUACAAGACUUACACAUGGUUAUUUAGAAGAACCACCAUCAAGCCUUCCAUGUCAAACUACAAACAUAUUUUACUGGAGUGCAGUGUUUUUAAUGUAAAUAGACAACGGUUUUAUUCCGAGAUGUGUUUAACUGAUGUAUUUUAGAAAAUAUCACCUGAAUGUAUUUUAGAAUUUCUGUCUUGUAUUCAUAUGAAAUGUCUUAUAUAUAUUUUUUGUUAAUUGUAUGAAUUUUGUUGAUUAUUCUGUU